UUACAGUGUAGUGGUGAGGAUGCUGCUUGGGUUAUACCAGGACAUUUCAAGGUUACUAACAAUGGAUCCAUUCCACAGACCUGAGCCCUAGGACCAUGCCUCAGGACUACCUGACAUGAUGACUCCUUGCUGUCCCCAGUCCACCUGGCCAUGCUGCUGCUCCAGUUUCAACUGUUCUGCCUGCGGCUAUGGAACCCUGACCUGUUCACCGGACGUGCUACCUGUCCCAGACAUGCUGUUUUCAACUCUCUAGAGACAGCAGGAGUGGUAGAGAUACUCUUAAUGAUCGGCUAUGAAAAGCCAACUGACAUUUACUCCUGAGGUACUGACUUGCUGCACCCUCUACAACCACUGUGAUUAUUAUUAUUUGACCCUGCUGGUCAUUUAUGAACAUUUGAACAUCUUGGCCAUGUUCUGUUAUAAUCUCCACCCGGCACAGCCAGAAGAGGACUGGCCACCCCUCAUAGCCUGGUUCCUCUCUACCCAGUACAGCCAGAAGAGGACUGGCCACCCCACAUAGCCUGGUUCCUCUCUAGGUUUCUUCCUAGGUUUUGGCCUUUCUAGGGAGUUUUUCCUAGCCACCGUGCUUCUACACCUGCAUUGCUUGCUGUUUGGGGUUUUAGGCUGGGUUUCUGUACAGCACUUUGAGAUAUCAGCUGAUGUAAGAAGGGCUAUAUAAAUACAUUUGAUUGAUUGAUUGAUU